AACCCAUGGUGAGGGCAUUCCCUUUGGUACUAUUUGUAUCGCUUCCAAGCAUCAUGGAAAGGCUCGUCUGAUUUUUGUUUGAAAUUGGUGAUCCUUUGCCUUAAUGCU